CCUGGACCGACCCUGACACUCCAGCAGCACAAGUUCUGGUCAUCUUCAUUGUUGACCCUCAACCACUGACUCACUGUGACACUGCUGUAAUGAAAAAGUGCGGUGUUGGCAGAAUAUUCAAAAAGCCAGGGGACGGGUUCAAGGGCACAGGAAAAUACCUGUGUGUCUGUCUUGUCACUGCAGUUCAGGGGGGAAACAGGUGUUCUCCAUAGAUGGCUGGGUCAGUUUGGUAUGCACGUGGGGGGCAAAAACCUCCCACUUGAGGGCAUAAAAAAUUAGAGCCCUAGCCAGUUUGGCUCAGUGGAUAGAGCGUCUGCCUGCAGACCGAAAGGUCCCAGGUUUGAUUCUGGCCCGGGCCCUGGUCGGGGCUUCUGCAGGAGGCGACCAAUUAAUGUGCUUCUCUCAUAUUGUUAUUUCUCUCUGUCUUUCCUUCUCUCUUCCACUCUCUCAAAAUCAAUGGAAAAAUAUCCUUGGGUGAGGAUUAAAAAAAAAAAAAUGUAGAGAUAACAGAUCAGAACCAGAAAGUUAAAAAAAAGGAAGAUCUGCCCAGCUGGUGUGGCUCAGUGGUUGAACAUUUACCCAUGCACCAAGAGGUCACUGGUUCAAUUUCCAGACCCCCAGCUUGUAGGCCCAGUCCCCAGGAGGAGUGUGUAGGAAGCAAUGAUCAAUGUUCAUCAAAAUUUCUCUCUCUCUCCCUCUCUCUUUCUCUCUAAAAUCAAUAAAAAUAUUAAAAUAAUAAUAAUAAAGAUCCUAGAAGAAAGUGUCAGGAAAUAUUUCAAGACUUACAGUAGGCACGUAUUUGUUAAAUAGCUCACCAAAAAAACACAUUAAUAAUUGGCCUUCAGUAAAAAAGGAAUUUCAUUGAGAGGAUAUUGUGAGAGUAAGAUAGCAAGCCACUGACUAGGAGAAUGUAUUUGUACUACAUAUUUCUGACAGGACACUUUAUCCUGUUCUGCAACUCAACA